GGGUCUGAUCGGAUAAUAUCUCCUGAUCGCAUCCGAAUUGCCAGUUUGUGAAAUCUAAAUAGAAGUUUCUGGAAAUACAUGGAUGUACUAUUGAUGUACUUCAGCCAACACCCAUAAUUUGAUGGUUUGUUAAGUUUCCACAGGAAUACACUCUCAGUGAAUUCAUGCUCUGUUUGUAUUCCCUUUGGUGAACCCAUUCUUUGAUUUGCACCCCUGAUGAAGUCCUAAGGGACGAAACGCAUUGGGUUUCAACGAUUGUGCGUUUUCCGUAAAAACAGUGAACUGAUCAUUCAUACUUUCUCAUGCUGAGGAAUAAGUAUUUCAUCUAAUGAUUGAAAACAUCAUGUAUAA